rnacentral:rRNA from 1 species
AUUGAACGCUGGCGGCAGGCCUAACACAUGCAAGUCGAGCGAGCGGCGGACGGGUGAGUAAUGUAUGGGGACUGCCCGAUAGAGGGGGAUAAAUACUGGAAACGGUAGCUAAUACCCCGUAUUAUCGGCUUUCCCAUAUGGGAUUAGCUAGUAGGUGAGGUAAUGGCUCACCUAGGCGCCGAUCCCUAGCUGGUCUGAGAGGAUGACCAGCCACACUGGAACUGAGACACGGCCCAGACUCCUACGGAGGCAGCAGUGGGGAAUAUUGCACAAUGGGCGCAAGCCUGAUGCAGCCAUGCCGCGUGUAUGAAGAAGGCCCUAGGUUUGUAAAGUACUUUCAGUCGGGAGGCGUUACCUACAGAAGAAGCACCGGCUAACUCCGUGCCAGCAGCCGCGGUAAUUC